rnacentral:lncRNA from 1 species
GUGAGCAGGAUUCGGGGUUAUGCUCUGCCUCACCGCGGCGGUGGAGGCGGCACCGGAGCCUGACGCGGCUCGCCAAUCUCGAUGAUAGGGCAGCUUCACCAACAAUUCAUCAAGCCUUCCUUCAAUUUACGGUUGAGAAAGGCCCAUCUCAUAUCUUGGGUUUUUAUUUCGUGCUCGGUCUCUCUCCAUCGCGCUGAAGUUCUGCCGCUGCCGCCUGGUGAAAGCCAGCGAGCGGCCUAGCCAAGACCAAAGCCCUCGGAAGUCGCCGCUAGUGCUCCGAUAACCGAGAUCGCAGCUGCCGCUGCAAUUUCAGAAAUCCUCUCCAUCUCCAUUUUUGCUGAGCUCAGCCGAGCAGUAGGGAUCUGCCGUCGAUUUCCUCUUUAGCUGGACAGACGCGAGGGUCUCCAGCGUCGGAUGGGUCAUCGACGUGAGAUAGAUGCACCUGAUGUGGUCGGCAAGGACUUGGGUCAAAGCUAAAAUAUUAUCAAAGCUAAGUU